CUUACAUUCAACCUGUAACACAAAAGCAGAAGAGAGAGAGAGAGGAAGGCAUUUGACAAUUUGAUUGGCUGACUGAAGAAGUGUUGAGUUAUGUGUGUGUGUAGAGAGAGAGAGAGAGAAGGGCAAGAGUAACAGAAGAAUGAAGGUCGACCAAGUAGGCCAUUUUCAUAAGACUCAACACUACAUCUACCUCCUUAAAAGUGACUGACAAUCAACAUGCAGGUAUUUUCAACACUACACAAGCUACACUAUUCCCUGGCUUGGACGUGUGAUGAACUCAGUACCUGUCCAGAUUGGAUUCAGAUCUAUCAGCAGCCCACAGGGAUCUCAAGUGUCUUUAACUAAAAGAAAUACACACUGAAAAGGUGCAAGUGCAAUUUAUUGGCAACUGUUUUCUUUAACCAAAAUGCUUUUCUUCUAAUGCCCCCUGGUGGCUAUGAUGAGUAUCAAGAUUAUGUAGAAGCACUAAGAAAUCUGUUCAGUUACUGGGUGAAUCUCACAAAACUUCAUAUAUGUAGAAACACAAGAUAGUUUGAAAGUUACUACAGAGAUUAAAGGAA
rnacentral:lncRNA from 12 species